AAUCAACGCUGGCGGCGUGCCUAACACAUGCAAGUCGAACGAGAAAGUCCCCGCAAGGGGAUGAGUACAGUGGCGACCGGGUGAGUAACACGUGACUAACCUACCCUGAAGCGGGGAAUAACCUCGGGAAGCCGGGGCUAAUACCGCAUACCUUCCAGAGGGGAAGCUCCUGUGGAGGAAACGAGCAAUCGGCUUUUAGGAGGGGGUCGCGCCCGAUUACGGUAGUUGGCGGGGUAAUGGCCCACCAAGCCUGUAUCGGUAGCCGGCCUGAGAGGGCGCACGGCCACACUGGAACUGAAACACGGUCCAGACUCCUACGGGAGGCAGCAGUGGGGAAUUUUGCGCAAUGGGGGAAACCCUGACGCAGCAACGCCGCGUGGAGGAUGAAGUCCCUUGGGACGUAAACUCCUUUCGACCGGGACGAUAAUGACGGUACCGGUGGAAGAAGCCCCGGCUAACUCCGUGCCAGCCGCCGCCGU
rnacentral:rRNA from 1 species